ACACCUCCAUCUGUUAGAGGAAAGUUGAGUUACCAUGGAGAUGAGCGUGGUCUCCACGGUGACCUGACCUGACCUGAUGUCUGGCCCGUGCUGUACCUGUAGAUGGGCUUCGGGAAGACAGAUCUCUGUUGUCAACAGGGCCAGCCUGUGUAAGCUCUAAGAUGCUACAGGAGCCGUGGCUGGGGGACUCUGAAACUACAUCAUCAGGUGCUGUGGCCCUUGCCUUGCUCGCUUCCGGAUCGCUUGCUUUGGAGACCAGCUGAGCAAACCACUGAAGAGGCUUACAUACGGAGGGAGGCCUCCUGACAGCCUGAGUCAUCUUGGAAAUGGCCUGCCAAGUCUGUUUUUAGUGCAGCCUCAUGAGAGACUGAGCCAGACCUCCUUUUCUGAGCUGCUCCCGGAUUCCUCAUUCACAGACUCGUACAUGAGAGGACUACCAUUUGUUUCUGUUUGAGCUGCCAUGCUUCGGGCAUAAUCUGCCACACAGGAAAGCAGAUAACUAAUGUCUUAUCAGAAUAAUCUCAUGGUUCUCAAGCUGUAACAUAAAAAUCAAUUGCACAGCGAUCCGAACAUUGUUUUAUAAGCAGUUCUUAAUCUUCUUUUGCUUUAUUUUUUUAAGAUUUAUUUAUUUUUUAUGUGCAUUGGCGUUUUGCCUGCAGGUAUGUUUGUGUGAGGAUGUCAGAUCUCUUGAAGCUCCAGUACAGACAGUUGUGAGCUGUUCUGUGGGUGCUGGGAAUUGAACCCAGGUCCUCUGGAAGAGCAGCCACUAAGCUAUCAACCACUCAGCCAUCUCUCUAGCCCCAUUCUGUUUUUUGAGGCAAUGUCUCACUAUGUAGCCCUAAGUGGCUUGGAGCUUAAUAUGCAGACCAGACUUGUAGAGGGCCGCAAUAACAUUCGCCACCACAAGAUGGCGCUGGCUUCCACUGCACCCCACGUGGAAGGCCAAGAUAGUUUCGCCAUUACAAGAUGGUGCUGGCCUCCGCCGCGCCAGCCGACUUCCUUUCAGGAAGUUAACUGUGUGCGCAUGUGCAAGAGUGCCUUCGUGCCAGGUCUUUGCCCACUCCGGGGCAUGCCUAAUGAGAUCAUGGGUAAGCAACCAAUCAGGUGUGGAUGCGCCGCGCUAGGGUGUAUAUAAGCCGCGCCAUGCUGGCGCCCCGCGGCCCUCUAUUAUUAAUAAAUAAUAAGCAUUUUGGCUACAGAA